rnacentral:rRNA from 1 species
GACGGAGGGGGCAAGCGUUAUCCGGAAUUAUUGGGCGUAAAGCGUCCGCAGGUGGCGAUUUAAGUCUGCUGUCAAAGACCACAGCUUAACUGUGGGCAGGCAGUUGAAACUGGAUUGCUAGAGUGCGGCAGGGGUAGAGGGAAUUCCCAGUGUAGCGGUGAAAUGCGUAGAUAUUGGGAAGAACACCAGUGGCGAAGGCGCUCUACUGGGCCGCAACUGACACUCAUGGACGAAAGCUAGGGGAGCGAAUGGG